AAAAAGGUAUCUAUACAACUUUAAAAUUAUUCCUAUUAAAACCUUUUAUUAUAUUUUAAGCCAAAUUAAAUCAAAACUAAUGUUUAUUUUAUAUAAUCAAAAUUGCUUAGAUAUUUGGGAACAGGAUGUAACUAUUCAUCGCCUUUCAAGGGCCAGAAGAAUGGUGGAAUGCACCUUUGGCAUCUAAAUGGUGUAUUCUUAAUAGAGCCUUGGAUACCAACGUCACCAAUAGCAAAACAAAAAACAGAUCUCCACCCCAAGGAUACUCAAGAUCCUAAUCAAAAUAAUUAUUUAUGGAAUCCUCAAUCUAUAAAAAAACUCCUCAAAGGUUUCUAAAGAUAUUAGAGAUGCCUUUUCUGAAUAUUUUUAUAGAAAUAAAUUAUCAUGGCAAUUAUAGCUUUAUAAUUUAAUAAAUUUUAAAAAUAUUACUCUAUUUUUUAUAUUGAUUUGUAAUUAUUUAAUAAAAA